CAGAUAGAGGCCGAAGGGUUAGGCGCUUUCUUUGGGAGAAAGAGUUAGUUAGUUCGAAUCUAUCCUAUCUGA
rfam:Kluyveromyces marxianus DMKT3-1042 mitochondrial DNA, complete genome.